rnacentral:rRNA from 1 species
GACGAACGCUGGCGGCGUGCUUAACACAUGCAAGUCGAACGGAAAGGCCCUGCUUUUGUGGGGUGCUCGAGUGGCGAACGGGUGAGUAACACGUGAGUAACCUUCCCUUGACUUUGGGAUAACUUCAGGAAACUGGGGCUAAUACCGGAUAGGAGCUCCUGCUGCAUGGUGGGGGUUGGAAAGUUUCGGCGGUUGGGGAUGGACUCGCGGCUUAUCAGCUUGUUGGUGGGGUAGUGGCUUACCAAGGCUUUGACGGGUAGCCGGCCUGAGAGGGUGACCGGCCACAUUGCGACUGAGAUACGGCCCAGACUCCUACGGGAGGCAGCAGUGGGGAAUAUUGCACAAUGGGCGGAAGCCUGACGCAGCAACGCCGCGUGCGGGAUGACGGCCUUCGGGUUGUAACCCGCUUUCGCCUGUGACGAAGCGUGAGUGACGGUAAUGGGUAAAGAAGCACCGGCUAACUACGUG